AUUGAACGCUGGCGGCAUGCUUUACACAUGCAAGUCGAACGGUAACAGGUUAAGCUGACGAGUGGCGAACGGGUGAGUAAUGCAUCGGAACGUGCCCGGUCGUGGGGGAUAACGCAGCGAAAGCUGCGCUAAUACCGCAUACGAUCUGAGGAUGAAAGCGGGGGACCGUAAGGCCUCGCGCGAUCGGAGCGGCCGAUGUCAGAUUAGGUAGUUGGUGGGGUAAAGGCUCACCAAGCCAACGAUCUGUAGCUGGUCUGAGAGGACGACCAGCCACACUGGGACUGCGACACGGCCCAGACUCGUACGGGAGGCAGCAGUGGGGAAUUUUGGACAAUGGGCGAAAGCCUGAUCCAGCCAUGCCGCGUGCAGGAUGAAGGCCUUCGGGUGGUAAACUGCUUUUGUACGGAGCGAAAAGACUCUUUCUAAUAAAGAGGGUCCAUGACGGUACCGUAAGAAUAAGCACCGGCUAACUACGUGCCAGCCGCCGCCGUAA
rnacentral:rRNA from 1 species